AAUAAUAAUAAUAAUAAUAUUCAGUAUUUAUGUCAUGCUCAUAAACUAUUUGAAGCUUAAUUGUUUUAUAAUGUCCAAGGGGCACAGCAAAGGAGAAAAAUGUUUUGUCGUAAAUGUAGUGAGGCAGAGGAGAACAGAAAGAACCCAAGAAGUAAGGUCAAUCAGAUGAAGCCAGGGCAUUCAGAUGGCAAGUGAGGCUACUUUGCAAACAAAGAGGAAGGAGCGUCCACAAGUGAUGUCAUUUCAGGAUCUCAGGGCUGGAAGAAUGCGAGAAGUAAGAGCUGUGGAGCAGAAAUGCAGAAAGGAUGAAGACAUGCUGCAUGAUGAGACAUAAAUGAGUUCUGAAUCUUACAGCUUGACCGCGCUGCAAGCUAAUGGGCCAUUGCUUUUUGAAUAAAAGAGACAUCAGGCUUUCAGAGUGAGCUGCACUGCCUUGCAAUGAUUAAAAUGCAAACAGACAGGAUGCACUGCAACUGCUUGAAGGGAAGACAGUCCUCCGUAAAAUAAAAUCUGUUUUAUCUUGCAAUUUAAUUCAAGAUACUUCUUUUCGACACAUACUUUGAUUUCUGCUAUAUUCUGAUAUAAAUAGUUUUUUUUUCAUCUUUCCCAUUAAAACAGUAUUAGCCGAGGCCUUAAAAAAAAAAAAAAAUGAAUUUCUUACCCCCUUUUAAACAACCACAAGUCUGGAAAACAAGACGGACAAGCAGCAAUACUGAAAUAUCGCUGUUCAAUAAGAGGGAAAACAAAUCCUUGAAAUAUGAUUGGCAUCUAUAAAGUACAAGAUAAUGCUUUCAAAUGCA